rnacentral:rRNA from 1 species
AGUAACGCGUAUGCAACUUACCUAUCAGAGGGGGAUAGCCCGGCGAAAGUCGGAUUAAUACCCCAUAAAACAGGGGUCCCGCAUGGGAAUAUUUGUUAAAGAUUCAUCGCUGAUAGAUAGGCAUGCGUUCCAUUAGGCAGUUGGCGGGGUAACGGCCCACCAAACCGACGAUGGAUAGGGGUUCUGAGAGGAAGGUCCCCCACAUUGGUACUGAGACACGGACCAAACUCCUACGGGAGGCAGCAGUGAGGAAUAUUGGUCAAUGGCCGAGAGGCUGAACCAGCCAAGUCGCGUGAAGGAAGAAGGAUCUAUGGUUUGUAAACUUCUUUUAUAGGGGAAUAAAGUGGAGGACGUGUCCUUUUUUGUAUGUACCCUAUGAAUAAGCAUCGGCUAACUCCGUGCCAGCAGCCGCGGUAAUACGGAGGAUGCGAGCGUUAUCCGGAUUUAUUGGGUUUAAAGGGUGCGUAGGUGGUGAUUUAAGUCAGCGGUGAAAGUUUGUGGCUCAACCAUAAAAUUGCCGUUGAAACUGGGUUACUUGAGUGUGUUUGAGGUAGGCGGAAUGCGUGGUGUAGCGGUGAAAUGCAUAGAUAUCACGCAGAACUCCGAUUGCGAAGGCAGCUUACUAAACCAUAACUGAC